rnacentral:rRNA from 1 species
AUUGAACGCUGGCGGCAGGCCUAACACAUGCAAGUCGAGCGGAUGAAGGGAGCUUGCUCCUGGAUUCAGCGGCGGACGGGUGAGUAAUGCCUAGGAGUCAGCCUGGUAGUGGUUGAUAACGUCCGGAAACGACCGCUAAUACCGCAUACGUCCUGAUGGAGCAGGUUGGGGAGCUUCGGACCUUACGCUAUCAGAUGAGCCUAGGUCGGAUUAGCUAGUUGGUGGGGUAAAGGGCUACCAAGGCGAGGAUCCGUAACUGGUCGGAGAGGAUGAUCAGUCACCCUGGAACUGAGACACGGUCAAGAGUACUACGGGACGCAGCAGUGGGGAAUAUUGGACAGUAGGCGAAAGCCUGAUCCAGCGAGGGCGAGUGUGUGAAGAAGGUCUUCCGUUCGUAAAGAACGUUAUGUUGGGAGGAAGGGCAGUAAGUUGAUACCUUGCUGUAGUGACGUUAACAAGAGAAGAAGCACCGGCUAACUUCGUG